GUGUCAGCCGCCGCGGUAAUACGUAGGUGGCAAGCGUUGUCCGGAAUUAUUGGGCGUAAAGCGCGCGCAGGCGGUUCUUUAAGUUGGGUGUCAAAGGCAGCGGCUCAACCGCUGUACGCACCCAAAACUGGAGAACUUGAGUGCAGGAGAGGAUAGUGGAAUUCCCGGUGUAGCGGUGGAAUGCGUAGAGAUCGGGAGGAACACCAGUGGCGAAGGCGACUGUCUGGCCUGUAACUGACGCUGAGGCGCGAAAGCGUGGGGAGCAAACAGGAUUAGAUACCCUCGUAGUCC
rnacentral:rRNA from 1 species